AGUAUAAAUAAAAACUCUCCAUUCCAAAUUCAAAAUUUCCAAAAACAAUAUCCUAAAUCUCUACAAAAAUCAAUACCAUCAUUAACUUCAAGUCAUUUUAAAAACCAUACAAAAUCAACAUAAAUGAAUUUCCAUCAAGAUUCAUGUUUUAUAUCUGACAGGAUACUUAAAGAUUAAGUCCAAGUUCACCCAAAAAUCACAAAACCAACUUAUCUCAAAUCAGUCCCAAAUUAGUACAAAAUCCUAAUCAAUUAAACAUUUCCCAAACAAAUCAACCAAACAUCAAUUCUUGAACCAAAUUUUUUAGUUAUAUAAAGUCAGCAAAGUUAAAGAGAAAGGGGAGAAAAACCAAAACACAAAACACCGUGCAACUUUUGUUACAGCAUCACAACCGCGACACUGCGGCGCGCUCCUGCAGCCACCGUGCACGUCGUCCAACCACCAGACGACCACCCCAUUAGAGCCGUUCGGUUUUCACAGUGAGUCUUCCAUCAAUUUAUGUUUCUGUGUGUUUUGUUUCAAUUUUUCUUUCUUUGUUUUGCUGUAAAAUAUGAAGAGAAGACGAGAAGGAGUUGCAUGGUGAAAAGGGAAAAAUGGAUCUGACUCUUCACAAUCGCCGACUGACUUCCUUCUUCCUCUUUUUCUAAAAUUCUCCACAAUCGAACUUCAUUGAACACCAUAAGAGAAUCUCUCGCAGUUAUCGACGACACAUCUCCGCAAUCACACUUUAUCGAACGCCAGAAAACAAUCUCUCACAGUUACCGGCGACACAUCCUUCUGCCACACCUCUUCUUUAUUGAAUCACCCUUCGUGGUUCACAUGUCUGAGCAUUUUUUCUGAUGCCAGAAUAGGAGUUAAGGAAGUUGUUAAAACCAAAAGAAGGACCAGCAGCAUUGGACCAUAUUCCCAAACAAAGUCAAUAACUUUCUCUUUGUAUAUGUGUUCUUCGCCUUGUUCCUAAGGUUGUAGCAUAGUAAUAACUUAUGGUGGCCUCAUAUACUUCAUGUGAAUUUCAAUCUUUUUAUGAAGAUGAAAUUACUUUUAUUGGUAUCAAACUAAUCAUCACUUAUUAAGAUAUUUUCCUUUAGAAUUUAUUUUUCUUUGAAACUAAUUAUUAUUUUUUAAAAGCAAAAGAAAUACUUUUUACCCGAAAAAAAAAAAAAAGCUUUUUAUACAGUCAAUGUUUUGUGUAGUUCUUUUAAAGUUGGUGUAGUAUAUAUUUCAGGCAUUAUGAGAAUCUGGAAAAAAAUGUAUACAGGAUAACUUACCUAAUAGGUUAGUGUUGAGACAUGAUUUCAUAUGUGGCUUGUUUAUGUCAUUCCAUGAUUUUUUUAGUUGGCGGUGAAGACAAAUAAGUGCUAAUAAAUUAAGCAUUGAGUAACAAUAUGGAUGACCACAAGAAGCCAUUCCAAUCACCGAACAAGGAUAGUUUCAAAAUAGAUGAGCUAUUCCAAUCACCGAACAAGGAUUUUUUUUUUAUGUUGGAUUAAAAGAUAGACCAUGUUGCUGCCCAAUAUAUUUGAAGAGUGUUAUGUAUUGUGGUGCUUGUUAUGUCUUUUUGUAGAAACUAGUAACAAACCCGUGCGUACGCACGGGUUCUGGUAUGAUACGCGCAUUUGCUUAUAUAAUAUAUUUAUUAUAAAUAUAAAUUUAAAAAAGAAAAAAUUUAAAUUAGUAAUAAAUUUUUUCGUAUAUAAAAAUAUUUAAAUCAAUAAUAAAUAUUUUCCCAUAUAUUAUUUUUGAAAAAAAA